AACGAACGCUGGCGGCAGGCUUAACACAUGCAAGUCGAACGCGAAAGGGGGGCAACUCCUGAGUAGAGUGGCGCACGGGUGAGUAAUGCAUCGGAACGUGUCCUGUAGCGGGGGAUAACCUAGCGAAAGCUAGGCUAAUACCGCAUACGUCCUACGGGAGAAAGUGGGGGAUCGUAAGACCUCACACUAUAGGAGCGGCCGAUGCCGGAUUAGCUAGUUGGUGGGGUAAGAGCUCACCAAGGCGACGAUCCGUAGCUGGUCUGAGAGGAUGAUCAGUCACACUGGGACUGAGACACGGCCCAGACUCCUACGGGAGGCAGCAGUGGGGAAUUUUGGACAAUGGGGGAAACCCUGAUCCAGCCAUGCCGCGUGAGUGAAGAAGGCCUUCGGGUUGUAAAGCUCUUUCGGCCGGGACGAAAUCGCACGCGUGAAUAUCGCGUGUGGAUGACGGUACCGGUAGAAGAAGGACCGGCUAACUACGUGCCAGCCGCCGCUGUAACAC
rnacentral:rRNA from 1 species